UGGGGAAUAUUGGGCAAUGGGCGAAAGCCUGAUCCAGCAAUGCCGCGUGAAUGAUGAAGGCCUUAGGGUUGUAAAGUUCUUUUAGCAGGGAAGAUAAUGACGGUACCUGCAGAAAAAGCCCCGGCUAACUCCGUGCCAGCAGCCGCGGUAAGACGGAGGGGGCUAGCGUUGUUCGGAAUUACUGGGCGUAAAGAGCGCGUAGGCGGUUUGAUAAGUUGGAAGUGAAAGCCCGGGGCUUAACCUCGGAAUUGCUUUCAAAACUGUCAAUCUAGAGUGUAGUGGGGGAUGAUGGAAUUCCUAGUGUAGAGGUGAAAUUCUUAGAUAUUAGGAGGAACACCGGUGGCGAAGGCGGUCAUCUGGGCUACAACUGACGCUGAUGCGCGAAAGCGUGGGGAGCAAAC
rnacentral:rRNA from 1 species